ACUCAAAUGAAUUGACGGGGGCCCGCACAAGCGGAGGAGCAUGUGGUUUAAUUCGAUGAUACGCGAGGAACCUUACCUGGGCUUAAAUGUAGAGUGACGUUCUGUGAAAGCAGAAUUUCCGUAAGGACAAACUACAAGGUGCUGCAUGGCUGUCGUCAGCUCGUGCCGUGAGGUGUUGGGUUAAGUCCCGUAACGAGCGCAACCCCUAUCAUUAGUUGCCAUCAGGUCAAGCUGGGAACUCUAAUGAAACUGCCCGCGCAAGCGGUGAGGAAGGUGGGGAUGACGUCAAGUCAGCACGGCCCUUACGUCCAGGGCUACACACGUGCUACAAUGGCCGAUACAGAGGGUCGCUACCUGGUGACAGGAUGCAAAUCUCGAAAGUCGGUCUCAGUUCGGAUCGAAGUCUGCAACUCGACUUCGUGAAGUUGGAUUCGCUAGUAAUCGCGCAUCAGCAAUGGCGCGGUGAAUACGUUCCCGGGCCUUGUACACACCGCCCGU
rnacentral:rRNA from 1 species